rnacentral:rRNA from 1 species
GAUGAACGCUAGCGGCAGGCCUAAUACAUGCAAGUCGAACGGUAAGGCUUCUUCGGAAGUACACGAGUGGCGGACGGGUGCGUAACGCGUAUGCAACCUACCCUUUAGUGGGGGAUAGCCUAGAGAAAUUUAGAUUAAUACCCCAUAGUAUUUUUGAACCGCAUGGUUUGGAAAUUAAAACUCCGGUGUUAAAGGAUGGGCAUGCGUGACAUUAGUUAGAUGGUGAGGUAAUGGCUCACCAUGGCAACGAUGUCUAGCUGGUCUGAGAGGAUGAUCAGCCACACUGGGACUGAGACACGGCCCAGACUCCUACGGGAGGCAGCAGUAGGGAAUAUUGGACAAUGGACGAAAGUCUGAUCCAGCCAUGCCGCGUGAAGGAAGACGGUUCUCUGAAUUGUAAACUUCUUUUAGCAGGGAAUAAACCGAGGGUAUAGUCCUCGUUGCAGGUACCUGCAGAAUAAGCACCGGCUAACUCCG